AUUGCUUGAUAGAUGCAACAGCAUGCAGUCUUUCAACCGCAGUAAAAUGCAUGCUUACAAUUUUAUAUACGUAUUUUAAAUGCUCAAUAAUUACUUGCAAUUCUUUAUUCUUGUGAAUUAUGCUUAUGAUUAAAAAGCUAUUUAUAGAACUCAAGUUGUAAAACUACCAAACCUAUGAUAUGUUUCAUUCUGUGUACUUAAAGUUUAUCGUUCAUCAAGCAUCUGACUUUAUUUAUCGUGAUCAAAUUUUGAUUUCUUAUUUUCUCUCUCGUUCUUCGUUUUGUACUAGGGCAUUUCCCCACAGGAUUCAUAUUUGUAUCACAUAAUGGGAAUUCUGGCACUUGGAGGACUUGUGGGAUGUUUCAUGUAUCCAUGCUCUUGUUUGUUACCUUCCUUACAAGGGAAUCUCUUUCUUUUUAUCCAGGUUGUGGUGGUUUCCUUCUCAGUGGGACUUGGAGCUAUUCCUUAGAUCAUAAUGUCUGAGGUUCUCCCAGUGAACAUUAAGGGCCUUGCUGGCAGUGUUGCAACAUUGGCUGGCGUCCUGGCUUGUAACAAUGACUGCAAACUUGCUCAUGACUUGGAGCAGUGCAGGGACCUUCACUAUUUACACGGUGGUCAGUGCUUUCACUGUCAUUUUUGUGUCUCUGGGUCCCUGAAAGCAAAGGAAGAAUUCUAGAAGAAAUACAAUCGUCGUUCAGAUGGAAGUGUUUGCUCAACCAUAUGUGAGCUGGUUUGAUUUUAUUAGUGAAAAUUGAUUGAAAUGUACAUGUAUUUUUUUCCUUUUUUUUUUUU